AGUGAACGCUGGCGGUAGGCCUAACACAUGCAAGUCGAACGGCAGCACAGUAAGAGCUUGCUCUUACGGGUGGCGAGUGGCGGACGGGAGAGGAAUACAUCGGAAUCUACUUUUUCGUGGGGGAUAACGUAGGGAAACUUACGCUAAUACAGCAUACGACCUACGGGGGAAAGCAGGGGAUCUUCGGACCUUGCGCGAUUGAAUGAGCCGAAGUCGGAUUAGGUAGUUGGAGGGGUAAAGGCCCACCAAGGCGACGAUCCGUAGCUGGUCUGAGAGGGUGGUCGGCCACACUGGAUCUGAGGCACGGUCCAGACUCCUACGGGAGGCAGCAGUGGGGAAUAUUCGACAAUGGGCGCAAGCCUGCACCAGCCAUACCGCGGGGGUGAAGAAGGCCUUCGGGUUGUAAAGCCCUUUUGUUGGGAAAGAAAAGCAGCAGGUUAAUACCCCGCUGUUCUGACGGUACCCAAAGAAUAAGCACCGGCUAACUUCGU
rnacentral:rRNA from 1 species